GUGGAUUAGAUACCCUGGUAGUCCACGCUGUAAACGAUGUCGAUUUGGAGGUUGUGCCCUUGAGGCGUGGCUUCCGGAGCUAACGCGUUAAAUCGACCGCCUGGGGAGUACGGCCGCAAGGUUAAAACUCAAAUGAAUUGACGGGGGCCCGCACAAGCGGUGGAGCAUGUGGUUUAAUUCGAUGCAACGCGAAGAACCUUACCUACUCUUGACAUCCAGAGAACUUUCCAGAGAUGGAUUGGUGCCUUCGGGAACUCUGAGACAGGUGCUGCACGGUCGUCGCCAGCU
rnacentral:rRNA from 1 species